UACGAAGGGGGCUAGCGUUGUUCGGAAUUACUGGGCGUAAAGCGCGCGCAGGUGGUCUUUCAAGUCAGUGGUGAAAGCCCGGAGCUCAACUCCGGAAAUGCCAUUGAAACUGUGAGACUUGAGGACGAGAGAGGUGAGUGGAACUGCGAGUGUAGAGGUGAAAUUCGUAGAUAUUCGCAAGAACACCAGUGGCGAAGGCGGCUCACUGGCCCGGUACUGACGCUGAGGUGCGAAAGCGUGGGGAGCAAACAGG
rnacentral:rRNA from 1 species